UCACUUAUUAAAUGGAAAAUAGUGGUCGGCAUUCUAUAAGCGACUUGACCGAGUCUACGAAGCUUUGCUUUUCUUGUAGUCGGCCCGUAAUGCCUCCCUUCAUUUGCUUGCCUCCUUUCAGCUCAGAAUGCCUAAUGCCUAUUAUUUAGUGCUAGAAGCUAACCGCCAUAAGUUCACCCUUCGGGUCUCGCUUCCAGCGCAUGAGGCCAAGCAUUCUGCCAGACGUCCCGGCCUGGGAGCCCCGUUCGCCUUUGGUACUUCAGUAGAUCUUCUAAAAUAAAAAGCGCUACUUCAGCCUUAACUACAACUACAUUACGCAAGCCCCGCCGAUAGGUACCUAUAGAGUAAAAUUCUAAAAAAAAAGUACCAGUGACGGCGACUUUCUAGGUUUAUGGAUUCAGUCAGCUAAACUCCAUCAAACUCCUCAAUCAAUAUCAACAAGAUGUCGUGACCGCUUAGGCUUGGUUUACUUUGGUUUGAAUGUAAGCUAAAAUAAGCGGCGUUUAUUCAAACAAAGGGAGCCGAAGGUUUCCUUGUUUAGUAGUACGAAAGUAGUUCUACUAUUAAGAUGUUUAAUAUUAAUAAUAAAUAUAUAGUGUUGUAGCUGUAGAACAGAAUGACGUUCGCCCUUACUUUGACUUUCUGAUAAGGACUUAAGUAGCUAAGUUUCCAAAGGCGAACACCCCCCUGUCCUUUAUAGUAUAGUCGUAAAGGGCUUCUCAGAAAAGUAAGGAAGAAGGCAUUCGAAAGGCCGACCACUACCACUAUCUCAUAGGCAUUCUGGUGGUAAAACCGACGACUACACAGCUCUAUACCAAGUCAUGAGAGAUAGCGAAGCCAAGCCGCCGUCUAUAGGCGAAGGGACGAAAGCCCGACGAAGGCCUAUGCUACAGUAAGCAAGUAGGUUGAGGUUAUGAAGUCACUUAGCCGUAUACUAUACAAAGGGAAAGGCGUCGGUACGGAGUCACGUCAGCUGUGGAUAUAGACUAGGCUAUAAGGAACGGAGUCUUAAACUAUGGACCGAGACUAUACUAAGGAACAAUGAAGCUUGACUGAGAAAAGAAGUCAAGGAACGAAGCAGCUUCUCUAAUAGCCCCGUUGAAUAGGCGGGCGAAGGCUUUUUGAAAAAGUCUUUUUUUCUUGUAAAUGCAUUUUUUCUAUUUAGAGAGAGGGGGCUUCAAGUUCUUAGGAAGAGCCGUACGAGACAGCUCACAUACGGUUCGGGAGCCGAGCCCCUGCGCAGGGGCUUAGGUCAACACUUAUAUAAUAGCCAGUCAUCAAUUGGAGGCGGGCAAGAUGGUGAUGAAUUGCGAUUGGUCUAAACCUUCGACUAGCGACUUAUUGCAGCCUGCCCAGAAUGCCCAUACAAACUAAGACCUUAUUCACACAGCGAAGAAAGGCCGAGUGGAAGGGGGCAGUCAGCUUGCUGCUUCUUUGCCAUGCGCUUUGCUUCACUUUAUUUUUUAGAAGAAAGAGACCAAAUGAGAGUGAAAGGCAAGGGCAAGCGAUAGAAAAGUCCCUCGCGCGAACUACUACUACUAGAAAAUGGUGAGACCAUUAGUGAAAGAAGGACCAAGGAGGAUCCUAUCCUAAAGGAGAAGGAGGAGUAGGAGGAGUCAGUUUUCUUUGAAGAUCGAGGAACGUAGUGUCCGACAAUUAUGCCAGCAUCGGGAUUUCUACUUUUUUGUCUACUUCCAUCCGUAAUACUUGGCAGAAUUUUACGCCUAGAAAAUAAGAUAAAAAAAGACUAGAAAUCCUUUUAUUCCAUAUUGGAGUAGAAAUCCUUUUAUUCCAUAUUGGAAAAGUUAUCGGGUUGAACGACUCCGGUAGACAGCUUCGCUUCCUCCUCGCUUCUUUCCUGGUGACUAGCUUCUCAAGUGGGCGGCUUGGUAAGCAAGCUAUCUUCAGCAUCGGUAAAAUCCCUAUCAAUAAUAGGCCGGAAUGGUGGGGAAGGAGGCCCUCCCUACUUCAAUGGAAAGGGGGGAAUCGCCGUUUCACAGUCGCUCCUCUCCUUAUAGGGGGGAAUCGCCGUUUCACAGCCGCUCCUCUCCUUACAGUCAAGUGGCUUUCACUCCCAAGAAGUGGGAAUAGGAGUCAAUCGAUGACAGAAAAGAUUGCCUAAUGCCUUAUCUCUUCUGGAAAGAGUUCUAUCUCCCUAGGUUUGAAUUCCUUCAGGAGAUAACCAACCAUCUUCCCUUUAAGAUAGGGGUUAGGGAGGUUAAAUUGAAGUGGGAGUCCUUCUACAAGGGAGUUUUGCUCCAAGGGCUAUGGAUCGGGGCGAGGGUCGAAGCGAGCGAGUUGGUUUGUGAGGGUAUACGUGUGCGAGCAUGCUAUUCAUGAAAGUCUUACCUAUAGAGUAAGUAGGGCCGGACUGGGACUGCUUUAAAGGAGAGAUUCCUCUUAGCCAUCGGUCGACUUACUCCCAAUCCUGCGCGAAACAGAAGUCCUAUACCACGUCUGAAGACAGAAAUGCUCUCGUAGGAUCUUUUACUUCAAUAGUAGAUAUCAGGCCUUUCAGCAGGUUAGUUCACGAAUUCUCCUAUUUCAAUAAGAGACGUGUUUGGGCCCGCUUUGAAGACAGCCAGGAACUACUAGCACAAGAUCCAGUAUUUGAAAAGGUUCCAUACCCAUAAGGGUUCCAAGCUUCAACCCACUGCUCGAGCAACUUGCUUAUAUAUUGACUUUUCUUGAAAGGGUUCUUUUCAAAUGAAAGAAUUCAUUAUGACAGCGGUUCCGGAAAGACAGAUUAGACUUGCCCCACCCGGGCAUAAGCAGGAAGAAGACUCUGUCGGAUUUCAAUACACAGAGAGAGUAUCUCUUGAAAAGCUUCUAAGAAAGCCAGCCGAAUAGAAUGGGGACUUGCUUAACAGCGAAAGAAGGAAAUUUGGUUAGAACGGGGGCUGCUCUCUCGCACUUCCCAAUGUAGGUUCAAGCACACCAAUUCCAGCGGAAUUUUAAUUCUAAAGGGGUCGCAGGUGGAACGGAAGAGGCUGGCUGAUUCGAUCAAGUAGGGCUAACUCAAUGGAAUUCAUAACCCUUUCAAUCUUCUCCUUAUUUCCUUGGUCGGGCAGCAGUGUUCUCACUUCCAGGAAGAGCCACAUCAGGGAGGAUGGCUGCUGAAAGCAGAAUUCAAUAAAAGCAUGAUAGUGGAAUGGGUUAGAGCUAUGUUCAACUGGGUAAACCCGCGCAAACAAAAACUCUUUCUGAUUAGGGAUGAUAAUCGCAAUGGCGAGGGUCUGUUACCUACCAUAAGUAGGGACUCACAAAAGACUGUAAACGACUUUUCGAGGAAAGAAAAAAGAAAUUGUGAACCUAAGCCAAUAGCCCAUUUCAGAUUCAUAACAUCUUCCACCCUCUGAAUAAAAGAUUUACUCACUGCCAACAAAAACAUACUAUAUUUACUAGUUUAAAUCGAUUCACUAAGCUAGUUAAAAGCCUUAUUACGCAAUUCCACCACUGUGUAAUACAUCCAACAUUCUCAAUAUUAAACGCUUUUGGCAAGCCAGAGCAAGACUUCUCUGUGGGAACCCCCCGGUAAAGGAGACCUGUCUAGUCAAAUAGGCUUCUAAUAAGAAAUUUGCUCAUUCAUUACUUAUGCAAUGAAUUUCUUUUUCGUAGCGUCAACGUUACCUUUAUAUCUCCCUCGUCUAGUCGAGAUUCCCUAAGAGAAAGGGAUCAAAUCUGUAGUUGUAGUUUCUAUACGUCAAUCCAAUCUCGCUUCCAUUCAUCAUCCAUUAUGAGGAAAGAUUCUUGAAUAACAGGCUAAGAAUAUUCUUAUAAGUCCUUGUCCGUUAUGUAUGCUCCAGUAAGAAAGUCCCUUACUUCGGCUAGUAAGAAUUUUCAUUUUAGGCAAGCAGGCUGCAGCGCGUAGUACCCCUUUUUUUUUUUUACUUUUGCUGCAAUAGAGGAGAUUUCCAUUGGACUAGUUAAAAGACUUACAUAACUUCAACGGCUGCCCACAAAAAACAUUCAUGUAGAGAAAAGAGAUUAGACUAGUCAUUGCACUAGUAGCGUCUACGAGCCUCCCGCUUCGGUACCAUCUCCUUUUUUACCAGCCGAGCUGCCCUGUCAACCCUUUGCGGCGCUUGCUUCCUAGCUAGAACUCACACAGCGCAAACAUCAUAAAUGAGAACUAAGCAUAGUCUGACUCCCUAGCGCACAGAGCAAGAGUAAGCUACUUCACUCGAGAAGAAGAAAUUGUUGAGUGAGCGAUCCGGCCUCUAGCCCUUCAAUGAUGGAUUUGUCUUCAAAAAACCCCGACCUCGGUAGAAAACUAACGGCAGGGCUCUCAUUAACACUAUUGAAGACGUAGCCGAAUAUAUAAACUAUUAUACCUUCCAAUGUAUACUGAUGAAAGCGGUUUAAACAUUCCUGCUCAUCGGAAGUGAGUUUAUUACUAGCCUUAAGGUAAUCCUUAGCAGAUGGUUCAUCCCCCUUAAUCAAAAGAUUAAUUAACAAUGGUGAAGCCUGAUACAUAUUCUGUAUAUCAUCAUAUGGAUAUGCUAGCUCUUCAAUAUUUUUUUGUAAUUCGAUUAAUCUAUCACUAUCGUACUUGUGAACUUGCGAUUUACGCAAUAAAUCCAAUACAGUAUUUUGGUAUUUAGAAAUAUUGGAGAUAUUUAUUCCCUUAACAGAAUAAUCAUCAUGGACCAGAACAUCAUAAAAUUGACCAAAGAAGAUAUCAUAUCUGGAAUCAGUUUGAUAACACCUGCAAGAAUAACGGAGCCUGGCCAUCAAAAUUGGAUUACCUGAUCUAUACAUCAUCAUAGAGAUUUGUUCAUUCAUUAUAGUAGAAUAUAAACCCUAGAAAGAAAGACUCUUUCUUUCACACAGCUCACCCGCGCCAAACCCGGUAGCUCUGAUCUCUCAUCUAGGAGAGAGCCAAAUGGCGUUGGUUAAAUUCAUGGCGAGCAGGGAUUAUAUCCUAUAGAGUGUUCCUGAUACUGAUACCAUUUUUUUCAUUUUUAGAAACUAUAUUCCUUUAAUAAUGAACACAGUAAAGGGCAUACUUUUUAGUUGCAAAUCUUCUGAAAGUAUCAAAAUAAUCAAUAUGAUAUUUCCAGUUCUUCUGGAAAGAGGGGUAUAAUUCUUCAUUGGUUUUUUUUAUUGCACACUAUAUCCGUAUAGGACUCGUAAGCUUUAACUAUUUUCUCAAUCUUAUAUGCAAUAAGCUUAUCGCUAAUUUUUUUAUCAAACUCAUUUGUAUUUUCUAAGAGAUAUAGAGAUAUUGUAGUAUACUACUAGGGAUAACUUGUGCUCUUAUUCUUCUGUCAAAAGUAGGGAAGAGCAAGUGUCUGAUCAGAUCAAUCAAGCGAUAGGGGCAGAGACUUUACUUCGCUAGGACGGAGUUGCUGUCGAUUGAGGAUUGGCCGAGGGGACUUCCAUCAUGUAGCUGGGUACAAAUAAGCCAGUUAAAGACGAGUAGGCAGGGCGUUAGGCUAGUGCCAGUGGGGUACGUAAACGAGGACAGAUCACAUGGUUUUGUACUGGUCAGUUUUGAGCUGUCGAGUGACGAUUGCUCCAUCUCUUAAGAAAGGACGCGGGGGGCCUGUCUUAUAAUAAAGGGGGUACUCUCUUCUCUGAUGUGCGCUAUAUUAUUGUGUCCUAUUCCUUAAGGAGUGAUCCGGGAUUAAGCCACGUGGCGAUACCCGCCAAAAGAAAGGGGGCCUUGAGUACUCAAAUGCGUACGAGGAAAGGACAAUUAUUCAGCGCACUUAAAUCUAGUGGAUGGGGUUCCAUAUUCAUGAAAAGCCAGGUUUGAACCAUGUUACGGAACCAAGACAACCUAUCUUACUAAUAAUAAGAAAGGGUUAAGGGCCUCCAACGCCUAUAAAUAGAAGCUUCUUUCUCUAUUUGGCAAAGCAAAGGGAGAUAUGGAUCCAGCUACCACUGAAAGACUUUCUCAAAUUAAUCAAAGAAUUCUAAAUGUUGAAAAUGAAAGGCGCGAACGUCAGCAAACGCUUCAUGCUUUUUUAGAGCAUGUGCCUGCUGUUUUUCCGGAGCUGGUGGAACAACGCAUUCAACAGCUCCUUAACCAAAUUCAAACCCUGGAAGAAGAGGGGAGGACCCUUUCCCGAGACAGGGAAGACCUUAUUGUUAGGAUGGCCUUCCGCAUCCGCGGCGGAAACAACUAAGAGUCAGUCGACUCUUUGGAGUUUAAGAAGGUUUAAAUAAGUGUCUGUAGACGCAAAGUAGUGUGUUUCUUCUUUUUCUUUGUUUAGUGGAGAUCUACUCCUAUGCUAAGUGUCUUUGUUGUGUUUGCAUGUAUCACUAGUAGUCUUCAAUGCUUCCGUUGUUCACUUUGUAAUGUUGUGUUUAGUUGUGUGGCUGGUCUAUGUGUGUGUAAGCUUCCUAUUUGAUGUAUUCCCAUGUAACGGCUAUUAAUGAAAAAAAUCCGCUUUGUUCUAGUUCAUUCUCUUUCCCUGUUUUGUGCAGAAAAAUUGUUGAUUUGAAUUCUUUUUGAAAUCUCGUUUUUUUCUUGUAAAUUUCUCACAUAUACAAGCUCAAACUACAGCCAAGAGGGUGGAAGUUGUGUGUUUACAGUCACUCUCCUAUAUCCUAUAAUAGCAUAAGCAUAGCAGAAAGCUUCCAUGCCUCGCUAUCCUAUCUUUAAAACCGACACCGAAGGAGUUGAACGUAGUGAAAAGAGUCGUUUCUUUGAUGAAAGACGCCACAAAGCUAGUAUAGUUAUCGCACACCUGAUCUUCUUUCUGAUAGGAAUGAUCACCUUCUAAACAAAAUAGGAGUGAGAAUUCCCCAACGAACGGAAUAAAUGAGUGAACAAGCACCGAAAGGUGUGCGUUAGUGAAACGAAUAGCUCAGUCCUAGCGGACAGGACAAAACUUCCCUUGGAGAAAGCCAGCCUGAGGGAACUGGAUUGGUCAUUCCACCAUCACUCGAUUAUAGAGGGUUGGAGCCCUCUCUCUGAAAGCCCUCUUGAUGCGAUGAGAAAAUGGCUAGUAUUCAAGGCUAGUCCCAAGAAAGCAAGCUAAAGGGCUAUCCCGAUAAGAAGAUGAAGCCUGAUCGGGCCAAAAAUGAAAGCAAUCGAAGGAAGGGGUAGAGCAUGUUCUAUUUUUCCGAAUCUUUCAAGAUGAAAAUAGAGGGAUUGGCUUAACAUGCUAAAACGGACAUUUAUUUGAAAUAAAUGCUUUCAUGCCAUCUUUGAUGAAACCUUGAUAACACAAGUAUAAGAGACACAUUUCAAGUGACCUUCAUAUCACAAUUAUAAGAGACACAUUUCACGUCAUCAUCCACAUAUAAGACAAUACCCACAUAAUAGACAUACUCAACUAGUACCAAUGUACAAUACAUGAACAUAAUCGACAAGUAAGCCUUUUCAUCAUUUCAUGACCUCUAUCUCAAGUUACCCAAAGCCACACUUAAGUGAAACAUGAAGUGACCGCCCAUACAAUCUCUUUAUAUACACCUAAGUGUUCCUAAGGGUUACCAUAGAUAAGGAAUUUAUCAUUACAAUAUAAGAUGCUAAGUCAACAUUCUUUAUUACACCAUUUUAGGAGACAUUCAAGAAAUUAAGGGACUUUCACGUAAUAGUCAUUUAGACUUAGGGAACUCACUUUAGCAUCUUCUAGGCCUACUCGUGCCAUAUGUAGAUAGCAUCCCAUACUACCACCUACACUUUGUAGAACCUAUCCAAUAACUAGAGUGCACAUCCCACAUUAUGGGAAAUAGGCAUUAACCAACAUAGACCAUACUAGCUAGGCAUGGAAUUCAGAGUCUACCCUACUCAGUGGAAGGUGUUUUACUUGCCAAAGGUAGAACUAAUAAGCAACCCAUGUAGGAACAUGGUUUAGGGGAUAUCCAAAGAAGUUCAUUGUUCCCUAACCUCAUACUUGGAGAGGGCUACCUUCUUAACUAUAUCCACUCGGUGCUUAGCCUUAGUUCCCAUAAAGUAAUUUCAUUCACAAGUACACUAGAGAGGGCUCCAUCACUAAGUCUAGCCGACCCAUAGUACUUCUACCAAGAAGGGAACCACAAUGAUCUACCUAUCAAGGUUCAAUAGGAUAGCUCAUUGACUUUCUUAGAGAAGGUUUUCUACCGUUCCGGUCCACCAACUUUAAGUCUAUCAUUUCACACAAGAAAAAGGUCAUCACCCUAAGGUCCAUCACUUCAAAGUUUUUUAUUCACUUAAGAGUCUAGACUUAUGAAAUGGCACCAUGCUUAGGUCUACCGAUCCUAGACAUUCAUUCAUUCCAUAAGCUUUCAUGUAACAGGAAGGGACAUCUAAGUCUACCAAGUAAGCCACAACAUUACCAUAUAGAGACUCUUCAUAGUCUAACAUCAUCACAUAUAUGAACAUUAAAAGAGAUCAUACUAUCAAUCAUAAUGCAAUAACACUUUAUACAAGAUCACCUUAUGUCCAUAAGAAUACCUUCACAUAAUACAAUAACACUUCAUAACUUGAUAACACUUUAAUUCAAUAGAUAAUGCCUUCAAGGCNNNNNNNNNNNNNNNNNNNNNNNNNNNNNNNNNNNNNNNNNNNNNNNNNNNNNNNNNNNNNNNNNNNNNNNNNNNNNNNNNNNNNNNNNNNNGUCUACCGAUCCUAGACAUUCAUUCAUUCCAUAAGCUUUCAUGUAACAAUAAGGGACAUCUAAUUCUACCAAACAUGCCACAACAUUACCAUACAGAGACUCUUCAUAGUCUAACAUCAUCACAUAUAUGAACAUUUAAAGAGAUCACACUUUCAAUCAUAAUACAAUAAAACUUUAUCCAAGAUCACCUUAUGUCCAUAAGAAUACCUUCACAUUUAUACCUUCACAUAGUACAAUAACACUUCAUAACAUGAUAGCACUUUAAUUCAGUAGAUAAUAACUUCAAGGCCAUAUCCAUAAUACAUUCCAUAAUUAAACAGCUCCACCAUAAUGGAUCAAACCAAUCAAGAACAAUUAUAUCAAUAAUAUGAGAUUAAACCAACUUUCCAUCCUCCAAAGCCAUAUUCAACAACACUCAAGUCCCCACCAUUUUACUUACCACAAGAGAAUUCAUCCAUAACUUUCCCAGAAGGCCACAACUCUCAAUUCACCCAUACAUCCACAAUUCAUCAUAGAUAGAUAUAGAAAAUCAUAAGAGUCACCCAUACAAUCCAAUCCAAACACAAUUUCAUAAACUAUGGAUUUUAAGCAAAAGACCCACUUCAUAAGCAAAUUUUAGGGUUUUAUGGAAGACAAGGGUUCAUAGAGUUUUUCAUUCAAAAACCUUCAAUCAAACAUUAAUAACAUCAUAUUUAAUCAUUGAAACCAUUUUCUUGCAAGAACCCUUGAGAGAAUUGAGAAACAAGAUUUUUCAUAACUUUUUGGAAAACUUUAAAAUUCAUUUGAGAUUGACUCUAAAGCAAAAACUAGCUAUAGAUAAAGAGCCACCUGUAACACCUCGGAAAUUCUAUGACUUAAGUUAGAGCCUCACCUUAUGAAUAAUGACUUAAAAAUGGUAAAAAUGAUGUUUCUAAACCUAAAUUAAUGCAAAUGACUUGGUUUGGAAGAGAAAGUCUAAACGUCAAGAAAUGACAACAACGUCCGGAAUCUAGAGAAGAAUGUGUUCUAGUGUGUCCUUAGGUUUUGGGCAGGUUUGGGAUGUCGUAUGAUGGUAUAAUCUUGUAAAAAGGUUUAAAUUAGGUAAAUAUAUGCUUAUAGGGUCAAAAAGUUUAAAUACAACUCCCCGGGGCCACCCUAAAGGACCCCGAGGAGGAUCCCAACGUGACAAAAAUGCAUAAAUUCAUAAAUCGAUUUUUACUUCAUUAAAGAGUCCAACUAAGUGAGGGGUAUUUAGGGUACUUUAGGGGACCUGUAUAUAAUGAUUUUAAGUCAAUUUAUCUCACUUUAUUCACUCAAACACAAAACCCCAAAGGUCUAAACCUAAAGUUCGUCCUUCUCUCCACUCUCUCUCUUCUCAAGAACUCCAUUGAAGAAGAUUACAGCUUCAAGAAGAAGACCAACUCUCCAAGGGUUCAACUCNNNNNNNNNNNNNNNNNNNNNNNNNNNNNNNNNNNNNNNNNNNNNNNNNNNNNNNNNNNNNNNNNNNNNNNNNNNNNNNNNNNNNNNNNNNNNNNNNNNNNNNNNNNNNNNNNNNNNNNNNNNNNNNNNNNNNNNNNNNNNNNNNNNNNNNNNNNNNNNNNNNNNNNNNNNNNNNNNNNNNNNNNNNNNNNNNNNNNNNNNNNNNNNNNNNUAGGUUUUCAAUCCAAAAACGUGGGUCUUCUUUCUAAAGUGAAAUUGAUGUGAUAAACUGACUUUGAUUGAUGUUGUAUGAGCAAUUAUGGAUGAAUUUAUGUUGUAUUGGUGGUUUCUUGAAGAAUUCCCCAUGAGACCCAUGUUUCAACUUCUUUUCCUAAUUCUAACCCUAGUUUGUGUUGGCUAUUGAUUGAAGGCUAUGAAUCGAAUGUGAUGUUAUGUAAUUCAUGUUUGUAUUAUGAUUCUACCCUAGGUUUGUAUAAUUUCUAUGAAAUUAGGGUUGAGCCUUUGAAUGAAGACUUGAAGGCUAUGAAGGGAAUACGUCAAUUGCUUAUAUUGAUGUUGAUAAUGUUGUUACUUCAUUGAAUUACAUUGUAUAAUGUAUUGGUUAUGAAUUAAUUGGUAAUUUAAGUAUGGAUGUCCCAAGAAGGGCAGGAAGGUGUGAAGGUUGGUUCUUCUUUGAAUUCAAGUAUGAAAAGUGAAUUACUUAGAUUGUAAUGAUGCUAUACCUAAUGUGUUGUUGUGGUGUUGAAGACCUUGUUUCCUCAUCCUUAACCCUCUCCACUUAAAUUUGCUAUGAAGUAUGUAUGUAUGUUAUGGUAUGAUUGCUAUAUGAUUGAAAGGUAGUCCUCAUGAUUAUAGUGUAAUGUAAAGUGAAAGGUUUACUCACUUGCUAAAUGUUUCUAAAGUGAAAGGAUUGUUACUCACUUAUGAAUACGUAUUAACUAUUAUGGUAAGAUGUCUACAUAAGGGUCUAGUAAAGGCUAAUGUGAACUUAUGUGAUUACUAAAGAUGAUUACAAAAGGGAAUUAGAUGUUUAGCACCGAAAGGGCAUGUAAAUGAGAUAGGGGUCUUACGUUUAGUAAAUCCGGCUCCGCACAUGAGUUUCCUCACAUUUAGCAACUCCGAAUUACCCACGGUAUGUGUUGUCUCAUGAGAUGGAAACCCCCACGUUUAGUAAGUUAGGGUUUCUAGAAGCAAUCUCCUUGACCCUUAACUAUCUGCCCACAUAGGACUCUAGCUUAGUGGAUCCACCUAGAUAGCUAUGUACGAAUGGUUACACCUUAGGCAGGUGUUAACCCUCUCUUUUUGGUGUGGGAGUAGAACACCAGAUUCCAUGUAGCUCUCAUGGUCUAUGUCGGUUAUGGCAAUAUCUCCCUAAUGUAAAAGUAAAUGAANNNNNNNNNNNNNNNNNNNNNNNNNNNNNNNNNNNNNNNNNNNNNNNNNNNNNNNNNNNNNNNNNNNNNNNNNNNNNNNNNNNNNNNNNNNNNNNNNNNNNNNNNNNNNNNNNNNNNNNNNNNNNNNNNNNNNNNNNNNNNNNNNNNNNNNNNNNNNNNNNNNNNNNNNNNNNNNNNNNNNNNNNNNNNNNNNNNNNNNNNNNNNNNNNNNNNNNNNNNNNNNNNNNNNNNNNNNNNNNNNNNNNNNNNNNNNNNNNNNNNNNNNNNNNNNNNNNNNNNNNNNNNNNNNNNNNNNNNNNNNNNNNNNNNNNNNNNNNNNNNNNNNNNNNNNNNNNNNNNNNNNNNNNNNNNNNNNNNNNNNNNNNNNNNNNNNNNNNNNNNNNNNNNNNNNNNNNNNNNNNNNNNNNNNNNNNNNNNNNNNNNNNNNNNNNNNNNNNNNNNNNNNNNNNNNNNNNNNNNNNNNNNNNNNNNNNNNNNNAUUGCACUAGUAUUUCUUGGGUUGUCUACAUGUUGGGAUGAUAUUAUGUUGGAUUGGACUAUGAUAUAUGAUACUUACUUUGUGUGCAUAUUGUAUUUACUUGGUAGAAAACAUGUUUUGACUAAUUGUCCUUUUAUGCACGUUUCAAUGAUUUAUAUGCAGAGUAGCCAUACUUAGUACGUGUGUUGUACUAACCCAUAUUUUCUCCCUUUUCCCCAAACAUUUAGGUUCGGACCGUUGAGGAUUCAAGCUUACUUCUCAAGACACUUGGAGUUGCUUCCCCAAGUUGGUGAGUCCUCAAGUCCGAGGACAAGACCCUAUGAUCUAGCUUCUAUGUUUAGUUCUUUGCUGAAGUGUUUAAGGUUCUCUUGGGUGUGACAUCUCAAGAAAAGGCGGAGUUAGCCGCCUAUCAACUCAAAGAUGUAGCACAAGUGUGGUAUGAACAAUGGAAGGAGGGGAGACCUAUUAGAGAUGGUCCGAUAAGUUGGGCUAUAUCUAAGACAGCUUUCUUGAUAAGAUUUUCCCCUUGGAACUAAGGGUGAAGAAAAUGCAAGAAUUCAUCAACCUCCGUCAAGGCGGUAUGAGUGUAAAGAAGUAUGGCCUCAAGUUCACUCAAUUGUCCAAGCAGGCCCCUACUUUGGUGCCGGACUCUUGAGCUACAAUGAACAAAUUUGUUAUGGGGGUAUCCGAUUUUGUGGUGAAUGAAUAUAGGUCGGCUAUGGUAAUCCCAAGCAUGUACAUUUCUCGUCUUAUGUUUCAUGCUGAACAAAUUGAGGAGCAAAAGCUUAAGCAAGUUGGUAGAGAAUUGAAGAGGUCAAGGGCAGAUGAUGGAAAUUCUUCUAAAGUUAGAUUUGAAAUCCAAGAUAUGCCAAAGUUCAAAAAGAAGUUUUCCAACCAAGGUCCUCCUAACACUCCAAGGGUCAACAAAGGUAAAGUGUCUACCCCCAUGCCUAAAGAAGUAAGAGAUGGCGGUCCUUAUGUGGAGAAGCCUAUUUAUACAAAGUGUGGUCGAAAACAUGAAGGCAAGUGCCUAGUUGGCACGGGUAAUUGCUAUGGUUGUGGUAAGAGCAGCCACAUGAGGAGGGACUGCCCUAUGCUAAAGGCUCAAGGAAGGAAAAAUGCUUAAGCACAAGCUAGUGGCCCAAAUCCCGAUGCUCCUAAGAAGAAUCGCUUCUAUGAUCUCCUAUCCCGAGGUGAUCAAGAGAGCUCUCCGGAUGUUGUGACCGGUAUGCUACAAUUAUUUUCAAUUAAUGUUUAUGCAUUGUUGGAACCCGGUGCCACUUUGUCUUUUGUAAACCCUUUAGUGGAUAUGAAGUUUGAUAUGCUUCCCGAUGUCUUAGAUAAACCCUUUUCGGUUUCUAUCCCGGUGGGUGAUUCCAUAGUUGCUGAAAGAGUUUAUAGGGGUUGUCCCAUAUCAUUGCCCAAUAGAGUCACUUUAGUUGAUUUGGUUGAACUUGAUAUGUUAGACUUUGAUGUUAUAUUGGCUUCAUGCAUGUUUUGCGUCCGUAGAUUGUAGGACCAGAAUUGUGAAGUUUCAAUUUCCUAAUGACCCCAUUUUAGAAUGGAAAGGAGGAAAUUUUAUUCCUAGGGGAAGGAUCAUUUCAUGUCUAAAAGCUUGUAAGUUGAUUUCUAAGGGUUGUCUCUAUCAUAUUGUGAGGGUCAAGGAUCUUGAGUCCGAGAUUCCUCCUUUGGAGUUGGUCUCCGUAGUGAAGGAUUUUCUAGAAGUCUUUCCCGAUGACUUACCCAGAAUUCCUCCCGAAUGGGAAAUGGAUUUCGGCAUAGAUUUAUUGCCGGAUACACAACCCAUUUCAAUCACUCCUUACCGGAUGGCCCCGGCGGAGUUGAAGGAAUUAAAAGCACAACUCAAAGAUUUGUUGGAUACGGGUUUCAUCCAACCUAGUAUAUCUCCUUGGGGUGCACCGGUGUUAUUUGUGAAGAAGAAAGAUGGAUCUCUUCGUAUGUGUAUUGAUUAUCGACAAUUAAAUAAGGUGACCAUUAAGAACUAGUAUCCACUCCCUAGGAUUGAUGACUUAUUUGAUCAACUUCAAGGAGCGAGUUACUUUCUAAAAAUUGAUUUGAGGUCGGAUUAUCACUAACUUAGGGUGAGAGGUGUUGAUGUUCCAAAAACAGCCUUACGAACAAGAUAUGGUCAUAUUGAAUUCUUAGUGAUGUCCUUUGGUCUUACAAAUGCUCCGGUGGCCUUCGUAGACCUUAUAAAUCCUGUGUUUAGAAAUUAUCUAGACUCAUUUGUUAUUUUCUUUAUUGAUGACAUCUUGAUAUACUCUAAAAGUGAGGAUGAUCACAUGAAUCAUUUGAGGAUAGUAUUGCAAGUCCUCAAAGCUCACCAACUCUAUGCUAAGUUUAGCAAGUGCGAGUUUUGGCUAAGAUUGGUUGCUUUCCUUGGUCACAUUGUUUCUGGUGAGGGUAUAUAAGUUGACCCAAAGAAAAUCGAUGCGGUCAAAAGUUUCCUAGACGUUUGAGUCCUUCCGACAUACGAAGCUUUUUGGGUUUGGCCGGUUACUACCGAAGGUUUGUUGAGGUAUUUUCAUCUAUUGCAUCUCCGUUAACGACCUUAACUCAAAAGAAGUCCAAGUUCGAAUGGUCGGAAUACUGUGAAAAGAGCUUCCAAUUGUUGAAAGAUAAGCUCACCUCCGCUUUGGUUUUGACCUUAACGGAGGGCACCAAAGCGUUUGUAGUAUAUUGUGACGCUUCCCGAGUGGGUUUGGGUUGUGUCCUCAUGUAGCAUGGGAAGGUUAUAGCUUAUGCCUCGAGACAACUCAAGGUGCAUGAGAAGAAUUAUCCAACUCAUGACCCUGAGCUAACGGCCGUUGUCUUUGCUUUAAAGAUUUGGAGACACUAUCUCUAUGGGGUACAUGUGGAUGUGUUUAUCGACCACAAGAGUCUUCAAUAUGUUUUUAGCCAAAAAGAAUUGAAUCUCUGACAAAGGAGGUGGUUGGAACUCUUAAAAGAUUAUGAUAUGAGUGUCCUUUACCACCCUGGAAAAGCAAAUGUGGUUAGAGAUUCUUUGAGUCAUUUAUUUACGAUUAGUGUGUCACAUGUGAAAGAAAAGAAAAGGUAGUUAGCCCGAGAUGCACAUAGGCUAGCCCGGUUGGGUGUUCGACUUGAAGAUUCCCCAAAAAGUGGUGUCAUGGCCGUCAUAAUUCCGAGUCAUCGGUUGUUGUUGACGUGAAGUCUAAGUAGCAUCUUGACCCUAUUUUGAUGGAACUAAAAGAGUCGAUUCUCAGCAAAGCAAUAUAAACUUUCUCUCAAGGAUAAGAUGAGGGGCUUAGGCACCAAGGGAGAUUAUGUGUGCCGGAUGUGGAUGGCCUAAGAGAGACAAUCUUAGAGGAGGCCCAUGGGUCCCGAUACAACAUCCAUCCGGGAGCCACCAAAAUGUAUCGUGACCUACGUGAGAUUUAAUGGUGGUAUGGAAUGAAAAGAGAAAUAGCAAAUUUUGUGGUUAGUUACUCAAAUUGCCAACAAUUCAUAGCCGAUCACCAAGGACCGGGAGGUAUAACUCAAUAAAUUGAUACCCCCAAUUGGAAGUGGGAAGAGGUCAAUAUGGACUUUGUGGUAGGUUUACCUCGAACCCGUAGGCAACAUGACUCCAUUUGGGUCAUUGUGGAUAGAUUGACUAAAUCAGCCCAUUUACUUCCAGUCAAGGUUUCUUAUUCGGCGGAAGAUUAUGCUAAGUUGUACAUUAUGGAGAUUAUGAGUUGCAUGGGGCCCGUUGUAAAUUAUUUUAGAUAGAGGUGCCCAAUUUACUACCCAUUUUUGGAAGUCUUUCCAAAGUGGGCUUGGUACUCAACUGAAACUAGUACCGCAUUUCUCCCUCAAGUGGAUGGUCAAGCGGAAUGCACCAUCCAAACCCUAGAGGACACGUUGAGAGCGUGUGUCAUUGACUUCAAAGGUAAUUGGGAUGACCAUCUACCUUUGAUAGAAUUUUCCUACAACAAUAGCUACCACUCGAGUAUUGCUAUGGCACCCUUUGAAGCACUUUAUGGUAGAAGGUGUUGAUCUCCGGUUGGGUGGUUUGAAGUAGGUGAAUUUGCUCUUCUUGGUCCCGAGGUAGUCUAUGAGGGUACGGAAAAUUUUUGACUUAUAAGGGAUAGGUUGAAAAUGGCUCAUAGUCGGCAAAAGUCUUAUGCCGAUAAUAGAAAGAGGGAUCUUGAAUUUGAAGUAGGUUAUUGGGUCUACCUGAAGAUCUCACCCAUGAAAGGGGUGAUGAAGUUUGGUAAGAAGGGGAAGCUUAGUACCCGGUAUGUUGGGCCUUAUGAGAUCUUGAAGCGUGUCGGAAAGGUCGCUUCUAAGUUGAAAUUUCCCAUCAAUAUGGCCCUGGUUCACCCGGUGUUCCAUAUUUCUAUGUUAAAGAAGUGUAUAGGUGACCUGGUGUCCAUUCUCCCUCUAGAAGGUUUAGGGGUGAAUGAGAACCUUUCUUAUGAAGAGGUUCCAAUAAGUUCCAUAUUUCUAUGUUAAAGAAGUGUAUAGGUGACCUGGUGUCCAUUCUCCCUCUAGAAGGUUUAGGGUUGAAUGAGAACCUUUCUGACGAAGAAGUUCUGGUCAAAAUCCUAGAUUGUCAAGUUAAGAAGUUGAGGAAUAAAGAGGUGGCCUUCAUAAAAGUCCUAUGGAGAAACCACCUAGUUGAGGGUGCAACAUGGGAGCUAGAGGCCGACCUGAAGUCUUGCUACCCUCAUCUUUUUCCUCCUACUCCUAGCCAAAGUUGAGGUUGGUAGUCUCUCUUAAUUUGGUAUAAAUUAAAAAUCAGAUGUGUUGAUGAUUAUGACAUGAUUUCCUUGUAUAUGCACAUUUUUUGUGAAAAUUCAUGCUUAAGUUGUAAUUUGAGUUUGUAUGAAUUUUGUUUCUCAUGGUUGAAAUUGUACCCAUAGAUGUUGUGUGAUGUUGACUUCAUGAGAGUGGUAAUGAGCAUACUUGAUGUUGUCUUGUUAAAGAAAUGUCCUGUUGAUUGCUUAAUAUCUAUAUUGAUGCUCAUUUGAUAUGGAGAAGGUAGUUCCUCCUAUACUUAUGUGAAGUAAAGAGUUUUGAGCAUAGUGAUGUUGUGGAUUAAAUUUCUAUAUGACAUGAUGAUAAAUGAGCAUACUUGAUGUUGUCUUGUUAAAGAAAUGUCCUGUUGAUUGCUUAAUAUCUAUAUUGAUGCUCAUUUGAUAUGGAGAAGGUAGUUCCUCCUAUACUUAUGUGAAGUAAAGAGUUUUGAGCAUAGUGAUGUUGUGGAUUAAAUUUCUAUAUGACAUGAUGAUAUGACUGGUUGUUGUGAUGCUAGUUUGAGUCAUUGUCUCCCUAGAAAGAAGUCCAAGUGACAUACGGGGACAAAUGUUCCUAAGGGUGGGAUAUUAUAACACCCCUGAAAUUCUAUGAUUUAAGUUAGAGCCUCACCUUAUGAAUAAUGACUUAAAAAUAGUAAAAAUAAUGUUUCUAAACCUAAAUUAAUGCAAUUGACUUAUUUUGGAAGAGUAAAAGUCUAAACGUCAAGAAACGACCACGACGUCCGGAAACUAGAGAAGAAUGUGUUCUAGUGUGUCCUUAGGUUUUGGGCAGGUUUGAGAGUGUCGUAUGAUGGUAUAAUAUUUUUAAAAGGUUUAAAUUAGGUAAAUAUAUGUUUAUAGGGUCAAAACGUUUGAAUACGACUCCCCGGGGCCACCCUAAGGGAUCCCGAGGAGGACCCCAACAUUGGCCAAGCAAGCUGCCAAGGCAGCUUGCAAAUUGUACUUGGUGGAAAUAGCUCCGCGUCGCGGACAAGCUCCCCCAAGGAGCAAAAAGUUAGUUCGCAAUGCGGUCGUGUUGUAGACUCUACUUUCUUGAAAUUUAAUUCAAAUAUCUUCAGGGAACAGCUCCGCGUCGCGCACUUGUUCCGCGAUGAAAAUGCAGAAAUUCAGAAAUCGAUUUUUACUUCAUUAAUGAGUCCAACUAAGUGAGGGGUAUUUAGGGUACUUUAGGGGACAUGUAUAUAAUUAUUUUUAAGUCAAUUUACCUCACUUUUAUCACUCAAACACAAUACCCCAAAGGUCUAAACCUAAAGUUCCUCUUUCACUCUACCCUCUCUCUCUCCUCAAGAACUCCAUUGAAGAAGAUUGGAGCUUCAACAAGAAGACCAACACUCCUACGUUUCAACUCAGAUUUUUGUGGUUAAUUCGUCAAUAAGGUAUGGUUGCUUAUCACUCUUGGGAUACCUUUCCCCAAGAGGCCCCUUCAAGAUGAAUUUUAAAAUCUUCAAUUUCUAGAUUUCAAUCCAAAAACGUGAUUCUUCUUUCUAAAGUGAAAUUAAUGUGAUAAACUAACUUUGAUUGAUGUUAUAUGAACAAUUAUGGAUGAAUUUAUGUUGUAUUAGUGGUUUCUUGAAGUAUUCCCCAUGAGACCCAUGUUUCAACUUCUUUUCCUAAUUCUUACCCUAGUUUGUGUUGGAUAUUGAUUGAAGGCUAUGAAUCGAAUGUGAUGUUAUGUAAUUCAUGUUUGUAUGAUGAUUCUACCCUAGGUUAUGUAUAAUUUCUAUGAAAUGUGAGUUGAACCUUUGAAUGAAGCCUUAAAGGCUAUGAAGGGAAUAUGUCAAUUGCUUAUAUUGAUGUUGAUUAUGUUAUUACUUCAUGAAUUACCUUGUAUUAUAUAUUGGUUAUGAAUUAAUUGGUAAUUGAAGUAUAGAUGUCCCAAGAAGGGCACGAAGGUAUGAAGGUUGGUUCUUCUUUGAACUCAAGUAUGAAAGGUGAAUUACUUAGAUUGUAAUGAUGCUAUAUUGAUGUUGAUAAUGUUGUUACUUCAUCUUUCAUGAAUUACCUUGUAUUAUGUAUUGGUUAUGCAUUAAUUGGUAAUUGAAGUAUGGAUGUCCCAUGAAGGGCAAGAUGGUAUGAAGGUUGGUUCUUCUUUGAACUCAAGUAUGAAAGGUGAUGAAGGGAAUACGUCAAUUGCUUAUAUUGAUGUUGAUAAUGUUGUUACUUCAUGAAUUACAUUGUAUAAUGUAUUGGUUAUGAAUUAAUUGGUAAUUUAAGUAUGGAUGUGCCAAGAAGGGCAGGAAGGUGUGAAGGUUGGUUCUUCUUUGAACUCAAGUAUGAAAAGUGAAUUACUUAGAUUGUAUGAUGCUAUACCUAAUGUGUUGUUGUGGUGUUGAAGACCUUGUUUCCUCAUCCUUAACCCUCUACACUUAAAUUUGCUAUGAAGUAUGUAUGUAUGUUAUGGUAUGAUUGCUAUAUGAUUGAAAGGUAGUCCUCAUGAUUAUAGUGUAAUGUAAAGUGAAAGGUUUACUCACUUGCUAAGUGUUUCUAAAGUGAAAGGAUUGUUACUCAGUAUGAACACAUAUGAGAUAUUAUAAUAAGAUGUCUACAUAAGAGUCUAGUAAAGGCUAAUGUGAACUUAUGUGAUGACUAAAGAUGAUUACAAAAGGGAAUUAGAUGCUUAGCACCGAAAGGGCAUGUAAAUGAGAUCGGGGUCUCACGUUUAGUAAGUUCGUCUCCCCACAUGGGUUUCCUCACGUUUAGCAAGUCCAGAUUACCUACAGUAUGUGUUGUGUCAUGAGAUGGAAACCCCCACGUUUAGUAAGUUAGGGUUUCUAGAAGCAAUCUCCUUGACCCUUAACUAUGUGCCCACAUAGGACUCUAGCUUAGUGGAUAUACCUAGAUAGCUAUGUACGAAUGGUUACACCUUAGGCAAGUGUUUACCCUCUCUUUUAGGUAUGGGAAUAGAACACCGGAUUCAUUAAAGAGUCCAUUUAAGUGAGGGGUAUUUAGGGUACUUUAGGGGACGUGUAUAUAAAGAUAUUUAAGUCAAUUUACCUCACUUUAUCACUCAAACACAAACCCCAAAGAUCUAAACCUAAAGUUCCUCCUUCUCUCUACUCUCUCUCUCUCUCUUCUCAAGAACUCCAUUGAAGAAGAUUGGAAAUUCAAGAAGAAGACCAACUCUCCAAGGUUUCAACUCGGAUUUUCGUGGAUAAUUAAUCUAUAAGGUAUGGUUGCUUACCACUCUUGGGAUUCCUUUCCCCAAGAGGCCCUCCAAGAUGAUUUCAAAAUCUCCAAUUUCUAGAUUUCAAUCCAAAAACGUGGGUACAUUGUGGUACUUUCUAUUUGCAAGACUUCUUCUGGAUGUAAGGGCUAAGUCCCAUUUUCGAUACUUCUAUGUCUAGAUGGUGCAUUAUGACGAAGUUAGAUUUUAAAUUAUCCGUGAUUUUAUUCUAUGAUAAAUGUUAUGAGGAAUGCUAAGGGCUUGUAUAAGACCUCUUCGAGGUCAAAUACGCCGGUAACGACUAAGGGGUGCUCUCGGUCGUUACAAACUUGGUAUCAGAGGAUAAGGUUGAGAAUAAUGUAGGAUUCAUGUCAUAAUAAACCGCGUUGAGUAGAGUCUUGUUCAUGGGUGUGAAGCGUGCCACACUUAUGAAUGAGAGGCUACGAGAUGCUUAGGAACUUUCACUCUUUUGUUAUUCCAUGUCGUGCCUAAGAGUCUUAACUCUAUUUAGUCCUUUUAUUCUAAUCCUUCUCUUGUCCAUAUAGCUAAUGAAUACAAGAAGGAACAACGCAAGGAGGGCCGGUGAGGAGAAUGUGAAUGAGGUGGUUCCCCCUCAAGCUCCUCAAAACACUAAAGUUCCUAUUGAAGAAGGGGCUAUGUCUAAUGUUAAGAUAAGGUUGUCUAUUUGAUUUGACUCAAGUGUUGGCCACUCAAGUUGCAAGGGAUGCUAGGGUGCAAGUGAAUCCCAAUGCUAGCACUACCACUUCUAGGAUAAGGGAUUUCUAGGAUGAAUCCCCCUACUUUCUUUGGCUCCAAAGUGGAAGAAGAUCCACAAGGGUUCAUUAAUGAAGUGUUUAAGGUUCUAGAGGCAAUGGGUUUCUCUUCUCAAGAAAAUGUGGGAUCCACCGCCUAUCAACUCAAAGAUGUGGCACAAGUGUGGUAUGAACAAUGGAAGGAGGGGAGACCUAUUAGAGAGGGUCCGAUAAGUUGGGCUACAUUCAAGAUGGCUUUUCUUGAUAGUUUUUUCCCCUUGGAACUAAGGGAGAGGGAAAUGCAAGAAUUCAUCAACCUCCGUCAAAGGGGUAUGAGUGUGAAGGAUUAUGGGCCCUCAAGUUCACUCAAUUGUCCAAGAAUGCUCCUACUUUGGUGUCGGACUCUAGAGCUACAAUGAACAAAUUUGUUAUGGGUGUAUCCGAUCUGGUGUUGAAGGAAUGUAGGUCGGCUAUGCUAAUCCCAAGCAUGGACAUUUCUCGCCUUAUGGUUCAUGCCGAGCAAAUUGAGGAGCAAAAGAUUAAGCGAGUUGGUAGAGAAUAGAAGAGGUCAAGGGCCGAUGAUGGAAAUUUUUCUAAGGUUAGGUUUGCAAUCCAAGAUAAGCCAAAGUUCAAAAAGAGGUUUUCCAACCAAGGUCCUCCUAACACUCCAAGGGUCAACAAAGGUAAAGUGUGCCUCAAGAAGAAAGAGGUGGUGGUCCUUAUGUUGAGAAGCCUAUUUGUACAAAGUGUGGUCGAAAACAUGAAGGCAAUUGCCUAGUUGGCACGGAUAAUUGCUAUGGUUGUGGUAAGAGUGGCCACAUGAGGAGGGACUGCCAUAUGCUAUAGGCUCAAGGAAGGGAAAAUGCUCAAGCACAAGAAAGUGGCCCAAAUCCCGAUGCUUCUAAGAAGAAUCGCUUCUAUUCUUUCCAAUCUCGAGGUGAUCAACAGAUCUCUCCGCAUGUUGUGACCGGUAUGUUGCAAGUAUUUUCAAUAAAUGUUAAUGCAUUGUUGGAUCCCGGUGAUACUGUCUUUUGUAACCCCUUUAGUGGUUAUGAAGUUUAAUAUGCUACCCGAUGUCUUAGAUAAACCCUUUUCGGUAUCUACCCCGGUGGGUGAUUCCAUUGUUGCUAACAAAGUUUUUAGGGGUUGUUCUAUAUAUUUUCCCAAUAGAGUCACUUUGGUUGAUUUGGUGGAACUUGAUAUGUUAGACUUUGAUGUUAUAUUGGGGAUGGAUUGGCUUCAUACUUGUUUUGCGUCCAUAGAUUGUAGGACCCGAAUUGUGAAGUUUCAAUUUCCUAAUGAACCCAUUUUAGAAUGGAAGGUAGGAAAUUCCGUUCCUAGGGGAAUGAUAAUUUCAUGUCUAAAAGCUUGUAAGUUGAUUUCUAAGGGUUGUUUCUAUCAUAUUGUAAGGGACAAGGAUCUUGAGUCCUAGAUUCCUCCUUUAGAGUCAGUCCCCGUAGUGAAGGAUUUUCUGGAAGUCAUUCUCGAUGACUUACUUAGUAUUACUCCCGAACGUGAAAUAGAUUUCGGCAUAGAUUUAUUGCCGGAUACACAAUCCAUUUGAAUCCCUCCUUACCGGAUGGCCCCGACGGAGUUGAAGGAAUGAAAAGCUCAACUCAAUGAUUUAUUGGAUAAGGGUUUCAUCCAACCUAGUAUAUCUCCUUGGGGUGCACCGGUGUUAUUUGUGAAGAAGAAGGAUGGAUCUCUUCGUAUGUGUAUUGAUUACCGACUGUUAAAUAAGGUGACCAUUAAGAACAAGUAUCCACUCCUUAGGAUUGAUGAUUUAUUUGAUCAACUUCAAGGAGUGAGUUACUUUUGAAAAAUUGAUUUGAGGUCGGGUUAUCACCAACUUAGGGUGAGAGGUGUUGAUGUUCUGAAAACAGCAUUGCGAACAAGAUAUGGUCAUUUGGAGUUCUUAGUGAUGUCCUUUGGUUUUACGAAUGCCGCGACGGUUUUGAUGGCCCUUAUGAAUCGUGUGUUUAGAAAUUUUCUAGACUCAUUUGUUUUUUGUCUUUAUUGAUGACAUCUUGAUAUACUCUAAAAGUGAGGAUAUUCGCAUGAAUCAUUUGAGGAUAGUAUUGCAAGUCCUCAAAGAUCACCAACUCUAUGCUAAGUUUAGCAAGUGCGAGUUUUGGCUAAGAUCGGUUGCUUUCCUUGGUCACAUUGUUUCUAGUGAGGGUAUAAAAGUUGAUCCAAAGAAAACCGAUGCGGUCAAAAGUUAGCCUAGACCUUUGAACCCUUCCGACAUCCGAAGCUUUUUGGGUUUGGCCGGUUACUACCGAAGGUUUGUUGAGGGAUUUUGAUCUAUUGCAUCUCCAUUAACGGCCUUAACUCAAAAGCAGUCCAAGUUCGAAUGGUUGGAAUUUUGCGAAAAGAGUUUCCAAAUUUUGAAAGAUAAGCUCGCCUCCGCUCCAAUUUUGACCUUACCGGAGGGCACCGAAGGGUUUGUAGUAUAUUGUGACGCUUCCCGACUGGGUUUGGGUUGUGUCUUCAUGCAGCAUGGUAAGGUUAUAGCUUAUGCCUCAAGACAACUCAAGGUGCAUGAGAACAAUUAUCCAACUCAUGAGCUUGAGCUAGCGGCCGUAGUCUUUGUUUUAAAGAUUUGGAGACACUAUCUCUAUAGGGUACAUAUGGAUGUGUUUAUCGACCACAAGAGUCUUCAAUAUGUUUUUAACCAAAAAGAAUUGAAUCUUUGACAAAGGAGGUGGUUGGAACUCUUAAAAGAUUAUGAUAUGAGUGUCCUUUACCACCCCGGAAAAGCAAAUGUGGUUACGGAUGCUUUGAUUCGUAUAUCUAUGGGUAGUGUGUCACAUGUGGAAGAAGAGAAAAUGGAGUUAGCCCGUGAUGUACAUAGGCUAGCCCGGUUGGGUGUCCGACUUGAAGAUUCCCCCAAAAAGGAGGUGCCAUGGUCCUUCAUAAUUCUGAGUCAUCGGUUGUUGUUGAUGUGAAGUCUAAGCAACAUCUUGACCCUAUUUUGAUGGAACUAAAAGAGUCGGUUCUCACCAAAGCAAUAGAAAUUUUCUCUCAAGGAAAAGAUGGGUUGCUUAGGCACCAAGGAAGAUUAUGUGUGCCAGAUGUGGAUGGCCUAAGAGAGACAAUCUUAGAGGAGGCCCAAGGGUCCCGAUACUCCAUCCAUCCGGGAGCCACCAAAAUGUAUCGCGACUUACGUGAGAUUUAUUGCUGGAACGGAAUGAAAAGCACUACAAGAAAAAUAGUCUCUAGGGAAGGGAAAUAUGGUCCCAGAAAGUCGUAAUCUGGUCCCAAAUGAACAUUUGAGACCUGAAAAAUCUGGUCGCCACCCGUCCUAAAAGCUUCCUUCGCUAUCGCUCAACAACGACGGGACAAAAAAACUAGUCGUUAAAGAUAUUUUGGGACGGGGAUCUAAUCUGGUCGCGAAAUACCUUUAGGGACGUUAUUUCUGGUCUUAAAUAGACCAAAUAUAUAUUGGGAAAUAGGUUUUGCAGGUCGGUAAAAGUCUAUAGCGACCACUAAAAACUAGUCGUAAUAAUCUUUUAGAGACGAUAUAGAUCUGGUCCUAGUAAUCUCUAGGGACCAUUAAAGUCUUGUCCUUAGAAUUGCUUUAAAGACGAGAACUAUCUGGUCCUAGAAAUAACUUUAGCGACUCACCAACCUCGUCCUAGAAUAGCAUUAGAGACGAGCAACAAGCUUGGUCAUAGAUUGGCCUUUAGAGACCAGCAUAAUUCUUGUCCUAGAUUGAGCACUAAUACAUUUCAACAAAUAUAGAAUUACUACUAAAACUUUUGCGACGAAAAGAUGAUAUAUAUAGAGAAGAGACCGAGACAAUAAGAUAUAUGUAAAGAAAACAAUUAAUUACAAUAAACUAGUUGAUAUCCAUGAUAUUGGUUUCAACAUUUGCUUAACAAAAAAAACAUAUAGCUAACAUCCGAGUUAGACUAUGGCAUCAAGUUUUGCAUUAAAUUUGUAGCAAACUAAUAGUGAGCUCAUUCAUCUUCUUCUACACUUGUAUCUUGCACAGAACAAUGAACAAAAGCUAGGCAAAAAAUUAAAAGUUCCAAUCUUCAUCAAGUGUUAUCCAGAAACAUCAACAAAAGCUGCAAGAAAAUAAGAGAAAAAAUCCAUUAGAAAAACUUUGAGAUGCAUUAACCAAAAAUCUAAUAUCUAUUUUAAAGAUUUACAAAUAAAUAUAUAUGUAACAUCUGUCGGAUAAUAAAAACAAAUGGACUCAAUAGCUUAAGAGACGAGAAGGAAUGAAAAUUAAGUUGGGCAAAAACAACUGCAAUUAACAAAAACAGGGCAGAAAUCUCUUGUGAGAAAUAAACAUAAUCUAGAACUAACUGACAAAGCAUUCACAAAUAUGUAUCAUGUUGAUCGAUGUUCGAGGCUCCACACGAAACCCACUAUUAAUUAUACUAUUCUCCUCUCAAAUAUGUAUCAAAUACCUGAUUCAAUUACCCCUGGUUUGAUGCUCAAGGCAGUCCCAUUGAUCCUCGCAAAAUCCAAAAACAUUUUGAGGAUUUUUAUGAUGAUCUGUCUGAAGAAUUGAACAAGUAUGGAGAGAUUGAGAGCCUACAUAUUUGUGACAAUCUGGAUGAUCACAUGGUUGGUAAUGUUUAUGUUCAGUUUGGAGAGAAAGAGCAGGAUGCAACUGUGGUGGAUAUUGCAACUUUAUGCACCUUAAAAAGAUCAGCAGGGAACUGCAACAUCAGUUGUUUGGAAGGUUUAGGAGAAGGCAUAGCUGAAACAUAUACCUGUUUAAUAUAUACCUAAGGAAGUUGAGAUGUUGAUUUUACUUUUCUUCCAGACGAUCAGACCUUGUGUGUUUAAUCUGGAAUGCAAAGUUGAGUACCCUGUUUAGUAUGAUGAAUAAUGUCCAAGUAUUAGACAUGCCUGACCUUUUGUGUUAACUUUUUACUAUUUUAUGGGGACAUUUGCUUUUAGUUUUAUUUUUCUAACUGCAUUUUUCCUUUGCUUUAACAUAUAUCUCUGCUAACCACCUCACAUUUGUUCUUUUUUUAGUAGCUUCAUAUCAAAGUAACUGGAACUCAAAAUGAGGGUGACCCUACUAAUCCGACAGUCAGUACAUUUCUUUAUAUCAACAGCAUUCAAUGUUUCUCUCGACCUGUGCUCAUAUUAAAGAACUUUAAUUGCAGAUUUUCGUUGGUAACUUGGAUGCAAGUGUAACGGAUGAUCACCUCAGGCGGGUUUUUGGGAACUAUGGGCAAUUGCUUCAUGUAAAAAUACCACUAGGCAAACGUUGUCUUCUGAACUUAGUCAAAUUCAGUGAUAAGGAAACUAACAUGCUGGCAUUGUUAUGGCAGAAGUUGUGCUGAGGAAGCUCUACGAGCAUUAAGUGGAACUCAAUUGGGUGGACAAACCAUCCGCCUUCUCACCAGUCUCAGGGUGGAUCCGAACCAGUGGAAUGGUGGUUUUUAUUGGGUAUACACAAGGAUAUGACGCUAUGGUUAUGCCCAACCUAAUCAGGACCCAAGUAUGUACUAUGCAGGCUAUGCCGAGUAUGGGAAUUAUGCACAACCUCCACAUCAAAAACAAGAAAAUUGAGUCCUACUGAUUAAUAUCUUAAUUUGAUGGUAAAUAUCUACAGAACAAAUCUGAUAGUUAAUAGCUACAAUCUUGAAAAAGAGCAUUUAACCAAGAGCUAGCAGAGGAUGAGGACAUCGUAGAGACUGUUGAGGCAGAACUAUCAUCUCAUGAAUAAAAAGCUUUCUUAUAAUAAAAUAAAGUCGGGUAUAUUGUUACUUACUUGGUCAGCAGAAAAACAAUUAUCAUUCAGUAGGUGGGACAUCUGAUUGUUGAGAAGCAAAUAAUUCUUCAUCUUCAUUAUUUGUUUCAUCUCAUCUUCUAAGGUAGACAAACGAUCAUUCAAGGAUUUGUUUUCCUCAUUCAAGGAUUUGUUUUCUUCAUUCAAGAAUUUGUUAUCAUCUCGAGUUGAACGUAGCUCGGACAAUAGCUCAGCCUUUGAAGAAGUUCCACCUUUCAAAUCUUUUGCCUUAACUUCACCCCCAAAUCAAAAUACAUGGCUACGUGUUUGUGGUCCACAACAUUUUUCAACAAUCUCUAUACUAGAGAGAGUUGAAUCUUCUUGAACUAUUUCCCCAAGUUGAGCCUACAAAAUAUGUAAAAGGACAUUUUCUAUCAAAACACUUAACAAUUUCAAGCUAUUAACUUAUUAAAUUUACCAAACGUACAUGUUUUUCAAUUUCUUCAGGUUCAACAAUCUUGUUAUCUUUCUUACGAGUCUCAAAGAAAAUAGUCACCAAAUCUGAUGGAUUGCCAUCUUUCCCACCCUUUACGUCAAAUAACACAAACCUUGUAAAUACUCCAUCAAGGAAAAUAGUUUUCGAACAAUACAUUUUGAUAAAUAAUCUCUCGAAUAGGUUUGCUACCAAUAUGAUGAAGUAUCUUCAGCUUAGAUCGGUUUGUUGCAUCCUAAUGCUUCUUGCCUGUAUUUGUGAAAUGAUAAGCUUAAUUAGAAUAAUUAUAACAAAAUUAUUAAAACAUAAGGCAUCUCAUACUUGUACAAACUUCAAGGUUGUUUCCUAGUGAUAAACUUAAGUAGUAUACAUACCUAAAAACUUUCAGAUGUAAACUGUUCCUUUACUAACUAUUUCCAUUCUUUUUUGUCUACUCCCCUUGGAUAUUCUUAAGAGACUGUUGAAUAAGCUUAUCCUUCACAUAUUUUGCAUGUAAGUGUCCUCUCCAUUUGUUCCAUAGCUCAUUCAUCCAUCCCAAGAUAUGAUCAAGAUGAUCAUUCAUGUCAACAACCUCAAAUUUGUGCUACAAAAACUGGGACAUGAGUUGAGUUUCUAUUCGAUAUCUCUGGUAAAUAAGAUUUAAGUAACACAACAUUACCUCAACAGCUGCCCACAUGUGACGUUAACUUUUCUUGCUUAAUAUCACUCCACGAGGUUACUCCCAACGGACAUAUUACGGUCACGAACAAUUUUUCCCAAAUGCUUUGAAAACAAUUUGCUAUUUGUUCCAACAGUUUGAUUAUUGUAAAAUGUUACUUUCAGAUUUUCUCCGUUUUCAAGUGAAGCAACUUCUUUGCACAUGUUGCUCCCUCGAACUCUUCUUACCUUUGUAGGAUUAGAUGAAUCUACGGUGCAUAAUUCAGUAAAAACUAUAACAUUCAAAUUCAGCUUUACAAAUUAAAAAGAUAUGGAAUGAAAAUACCGUACCUUUUUCAGUUGUUUGAGAGUGUUCCAUAACUUGAUCAAUAGAUGGAGGCAAUGAAAUUUUAGUUUGCAUAUCCUCUUUCUCAAGAAUCAUUUUAUCCAUUCUUUUAGCAUAGUGUUUCAAUGAGGAAGAAGUUGAAAAAAAAUUGACAAGUACUUGCAGAGAAGAUUAGAUUGUUAAAAAGGAAAAAACAUAGCUUAAUAGAGAAAUUUCAAAAGUAAUACAAAGUAGAGAAGAAAUGAUUGCUCUUUGGGGAGCUAUGUUGUGCUACAUCUGGAAAGUAAGGAACGAAAAAUAGUUCAAAGGUAUUACAUACAAACUUGAAUUUUUAUUUGAAAAACAUAGCAUAUUUCCAAAAAUCUUACUUGUCUAGACUUCUUGGGUGUAUUGCUUACCUAGAUUAGUCGAUGCAUGAGCUGAGGGGUUAGUUUGCUUGUUCUCUUUCUCAAGAUCGAUGGAGUUCUUAGGUAUCGUUGUCAUUCCUUGACUAGUAAAUAAAGUAGAGUUUGUAAGUCCUUGUCCUCGGCCCUUACCUACACAACAUGGAGAAAACAAAUCAUAUUAUCAAUACUUUAGAAUGUUCUUUUUAAGAGCGAGAAGAUGUAAGAAUAACAACGGCUCAAAGAGAAGAUUACAUUUUGAGACAGAAAAAAACAAAGCAUUAUUUAGAAAAAAUAACAAAGGCUAUGUUUUCACUAUCCACUCGCUUGAGGGCAGAAAAGUGAUAAAGUAUGAUCUCGUUUUAAGCAACAAAGCUGAUUAUCGUAACAACCUGCUUUAGCACUUAGGUUUAUACAACUGUGGAACCUAGUCAUUUCAUUAUUGAAUAACAGAUUUGAGAAAAAGAAGAGAUCAAUUUAAUACUUUAGUGUCACAUGUAAACGAAUACACAAUGAGAAAUCAAAUCAUAUUAUCAAUAGUUUAGCAUAGUGUUUCAGAGAGGAAGAAGUUGAAAAAAAUUGACAAGUACUUGCAGAGAAGAUUAAAAAUUUCUUGUUGGUAGUCGCUUGUGACUAAAAAUUCUUGGCUCAUAACUAACCUAUCCAAAAGUUAAGAAUGGCCUAAUCGCAUCCUCAAACUAAUACAUAAAGAAAGAAUCAAGAAAACUAGUAAUUGCAACUAUAUGCUACAUUGGUUAUAGUCCAAACUCAAGAACACUACAUUUGUCCUCACUAAAUCAUAAUAGAGGUGAAUGUUUGUUUAAGUUUGAGCAUUAAAUCAUAAUAGAUGUGAAUGUUUUUUAAGUUUUAACUUGGUAGUGGAGGUCCUGGUUCUCCAAUAAUAUGACUGUUUUUCCAUAAUCUUCGUAGUCUAACUAUUAGUGUCUCCUAUCCAAAAAUUAUUUUGGAUGAACACUACUCAGAUUGCAAGGGAAGGAGAUUGCAACCAUCACAAGAUUUAAUAGGAAUCAUUAUACUGGAUGAGCACGAUCCAGAUGGCAAAGGAAGGAGAUUACAACCAUCAUGGGAUUUAACAGGAAUCCUUGGGCAUAAAAUAUUAUCUGAGUUACAUAAUGACACCAUUGGUAUGUGUGAUCAGAAUAGUUUGAACAGAAUCGAAACACAAGAAGGUGAUUCUGCUUCAGACUAGAGCCAACAGUACAAUGAAUCUCUUACUACAUCCAUUUUCUUAAAAACUAUUAAGCUUCUUAUUCAACCCCCCAGGCAUUACACCCAAACACUGCACACAACUUUUACGGAAUAGGAACCUCCAAAUAAGCAGGUCUAAUAGAGAAAAGAUGGGAGAAAUCAUUCCCUAUCUCAUGUUUAAGAUAAUUUGGAGGGAACAAAGUAGGGAAGGCCGCUGAGACAAGAAAACUUUAUGUUUCAGGAAAUAGUUUGAUAGACUGGAAACUCUAUUUUGAAGACCAACAAAGUUUUGCUUCUUUUUUCUGCUUAUUUUGAAGCACACAGAAGAAUCCCAUUUGCAUAGAUAUCAAGCAGGUCCCUUGUAUAGCUAGUAUAUUGGGAUUCUUCAAUAAAAGAUUAUCUGAGUUCCAUAAUGACAUCAAUGGUAUGUGUAGUCGGAACAAUCUGAACGGAAUUGGAACACAAGCAGGUGAUUCUGGUUGAGUGAUGAUACAGCCCAUCUCUUACUACAUUGCCAUCUUGUUAACAACUAUAAAGCUUCUUGAUCAACCCCCCUGGCAUUCCCCAAAUACAGCACAUAAUUUUAAAAGAACAAGAAGCUCCAAACAAGCAGGUCUAACAGAGAAAGUUGAUGUUACAGGAAAGAGUAUUGAUAGACCGGAAACUUUGAUGUUGAAAACCAACAACAUUUUACUUCCUUUUUUCUGAUUAUUUUGAAGCACACAGCAACUUCCCAUUUGCAUAGAUGACUAAAAGUUUCCUUUGUAUACAACUAGUAUACUGGGAUUUUUCAAUCCCCUGUUUUAGUUAGUAAAAAGUACUUGUGAGUUUUAACAAAUAAAUAAGUUUUCCAUGUUGAGGGAUAUGCUAGAAAUAUUUGUUCAUUAAAAAUUGGAAACUCUAUUUUGAAGACCAACAAAGUUUUGCUUCGUUUUUUUGCGCAAGUACAAGUAUACAAAGGUACCACCAAAAUCAUGUUACAGGAGAGUGAGAUUCAAAUCUAAACUUUACAAAGUACCUAGGAAAUCAACCAGCUCCUUUACUUCCUAUAUACAAUUCUCGAGAAUUGCGCAAGUACAAGUAUACAAUGGUACCUUGAUGCAUAACAUUAAGCAAAAUUUUAGGCUUAACUGGGCACGACUUGAUUCGGGUGAAAAACAUUAAGAUAAUACCACUGAAUAUACUAUAUUUUUAUAGGUGACAUGGCAGCUAAUUUCACAGAUUACAUGUUUUAGAAGAUAUUUAGGGCCAACUAUUCCUCAAUCAAUGGAAUUAAGGUUGUAAAAGAUAAAGAAAUAUUGCACAUAAUGAGGUUGUCGAUUUAUUAGACUUGUGGAUUAAGGUGAUCGAUUUUGCACUAUGACUGAGAUGAAUCGAACGUUUUUCUCCACUAGGCAUAAACACAUUAGUUCUGCAGCUAACAAGAAGAAUGUUGGAGGCCAAACGCAAGCUUCAUAUCAAAAUAAGGAACUCAAAUUACUGCAGCUAAGGUUAUAUGACUAUUUUCAUUAUAUGACUAAGAAAAGAGACCAGAUUUUGAAACCAUUAACCUAUUUAUUGUUAAAAAAAAGAAGAACAAAUAGAGUAGCUUUAAUACAACAAUGAAAAAACGACAUCAAUAAAACAUAUAGAAGAAACAUAACAACUCGAUCGAAAGAGGAACCGACCUGAAAUUCUGUUUCGAGCAAAGCUGGGUGGAAUUCUUUUUUGAACAAAGCAGCAACUAUCCCUACAAGAAAAUGACACGAUUAGGGCAUAUGAAUGUCAACAUUAAGCACGAAAGAACAGAAAGAGUAACUUCAAUACAACAAUGAAAAAACAACAUCAAUAAAACAUAUAGAAGAAACAUAACAACUCGAUCGGAAGAGGAACAAACCUGAAAUUCUGUUUCGAUCAAAGCUGGGGUGGAAUUCUGUUUUGAGCAGAGCAUCAACGAUACAAUAAAAAAAAUGCGAUUAGGGCAGAGGAAUGUCAAGGUUAAGCAAAAAAUGUUGAGAGGGUAUAGAGGGAUGACCUUGAUCGAUGGCAAUGGCGAGCUCAAACUAGGGCAUUAGGACGGGCUGCUGUAUUUUGAGAAAAAAAAUUGUUUACCUAAAGUAUAAUUUAAUUUUAGCGCUUAAAGUUUUGUUAAAAGUAAAAAUUACAUUUUUUUUU
rnacentral:lncRNA from 1 species